rnacentral:lncRNA from 1 species
UCCGUUUAUUUCCUCACAUACCAGCCAAGCUUCUCAGUCAGGCAGACACAAUAGAUGGAAUGGCAAGGGAAGUGAAGAGUGGAGGCUGCAUCCCUUCAGCCGCCAGCUGAUGUUCUGCUUAUUUCGCAUACCGGAACUCCCAGGCGUCCUCAAACCACAAUCACAGUUGUUGGUUCCAGAAACAUCUUCUUUGGAAAAACAUGUGACAUCAGUUUCCUCAGAGUCUUCCGGACAAUCCAGUCACACAGAACUGACAAAACCUUGUCAGGUGAGAAGAUAAGGAUCUUCUUCAAUACAGAAUAUGUCAACAUCUCCUUCUGAAUAGUUCCGUUUAUUUGCUCACAUACCAGCCAAGCUUCUCAGUCAGCAGGCACAAUAGACUGAAUAGGAAGGGAAGUGAAGAGUGAAGUCUGGAUCCGUUUAGCCUCCAGCUGAUGUUCUGCUUAUUUCCUGUACUGGAACUCUCAGAAGUCCUCAAACCACAAUCACAGUUGUUGGUUCCAGAAACAUCUUCUUUGGAAAAACAUGUGACAUCAGUUUCCUCAGAGUCUCCCGGACAAUCCAGUCACGCAGAACUGACAAAACCUUGUCCAGUAAGAAGGUAAGAAUCUUCUUCAAUAGAGAAUACGUCAACGUCUCCGUGAACGAAGAGAUCUGCUGGUUCCAAGGACUUGUCGUGGAUUUCUGUCCUAGAUACUUUCUUCCGUAAUUCAAGAUAAAGAAAAUUACAAUCUCUGCUGUCCAUUCCAUCGCUUUUCCCUUCAGAAUCAUAAUCAGAGAAUCCUUGCAGAACGUCGUGAGUGUGCUCUCAGCUGCAAUCACCAGAAGGACUCUUCACACUCGGUGAGUCCUCCUCAUUUUAUAGAAGCCAAAGCAGUGACGUAUGCUCACCCCUCCCGCCCCCAGGAGAGAGGUUGCUGGCCAAUGAGCUUGAGCUUCGUCAUCCUUCCAAGCCCCACCCAGUUCCUUUGCUUCCCUUUCACCAACUUUGACUGAAAUGAAUAGGUUACAACCUUUAGCUUUCUGCCCCUUGGAAAACGGAAGCAUUUAGACAUCCGUAUUAAUAUUUGGAUCUAGAGUGUUCGUGUUUUAGCACUUCCUUUUUUGAAAGGAGAAGCAGACGUGUUGUGUUUUUAGGAACACUUCCAAGAAGUUUCUCCUCCUCUAUGAUGAAACCAACACAAGAAAGCCAAAAGGGCGUUUAACCCCUUGAAGCACUGAGAGUUUCCCUGCUGAUAUUCUUAGACUGUUCUUUUUCUAAAACGAGAAAGAGGUGGCUCACCAGGAGAAAGGCAUAGCAGAACCUGGACUGAGACCUACGGGAGACAGGCAGACACACAGGAGGUUGGACGUCGAGAGGAGCACAUCAGUGCAAGAACACAUGGGUGGCUGCCACUUCUCUCCCUUUCCUGAGAGGGAAAAACUCUCGACGCUGAGAGGAAUCCACCAACAGGCACCAGCACUCUGGCAGGCCACCGACCAAUGGAUUGACAUAGAGUUUGGCUGGGGCAGCCAGAGGAGAGCCUGGGCCGCUGAAUAACCCGACUUCAGGGGAAAACUAUUCUCCCUUUUGGCUCCCCCAUCUGCUGAGAGCUACUUCCACUCAAUAAAACCUUGCACUCAUU